CUUUCACUAAAACUGUUGAAAUUAUGUGCAUUCCGACCAUAAUUCAAUGCUUCAAGGUUCAUGGUUAUUAAAUAUGUAACCUGAGACUAAUGUGGUGACGUGAAAUUGCAGCUGAAUGGUGGAAAUCAGAUACUGAAGCUGUGAUCAACGAGGCUCUUAAAUCUGGAUUAGCUCCAAAUGUCUCUGAUGCUCACACAAUUAAUGGCCAUCCAGGAGCUGUCUCAACUUGUUCUUCACAGGGUAUUCAACUAAGAUUAAUGACCAUAAGAUAUACUUGAAAGUUCUGGCUGUCAAUGCUUGCUUUCUAAUAAAUGUCUGAUACAGAAAGAUUUUUGGAUUCAUGCAGGCGGUUUCACAUUGCCAGUCAAAAGUGGCGAGACCUACAUGCUACGGUUGAUCAAUGCAGCACUCAAUGAAGAGCUCUUCUUCAAAAUUGCAGGGCAUAAGCUUACAGUCGUCGAAGUUGAUGCCACCUAUGUUAAACCAUUCAAAACCGAUACAGUCCUAAUUGCCCCAGGCCAGACCACCAAUGUCCUUGUCACAACUAACAAAAAUACAGGCAAGUACUUGGUUGCUGCCUCCCCGUUCAUGGAUUCUCCAAUUGCUGUGGACAACAUGACAGCAACAGCCACUUUGCAGUAUUCAGGAGCACUUGCUAACUCCCCUACAACUCUCACCACCCCACCUCCAAAGAAUGCCACUGCAGUUGCCAACCAAUUUACCAACUCUCUACGCAGCCUUAACUCAAGAAGAUUUCCUGCCAAAGUCCCAUUGAACGUUGAUCACAACCUUUUCUUUACAGUUAGUCUAGGAGUUAACCCAUGUCCAAGUUGCAAAGCUGGUAAUGGCAGCAGGGUUGUUGCUAGUAUUAACAAUGUCACAUUUGUGAUGCCAACCACUGCCCUGCUCCAAGCACAUUUCCUCAACAUCAGCGGUGUGUUCACCACUGAUUUUCCUGCAAAGCCACCGCAUGUUUUCAAUUACACUGGCACUCCACCUACAAAUUUACAGACCAAAAGUGGAACUAAAGUUUAUAGGCUGAGCUACAACUCGACAGUCCAACUUGUUAUGCAAGAUACUGGUAUCAUAUCCCCUGAGAACCAUCCGAUCCAUUUACAUGGAUUCAAUUUCUUUGCUGUCGGUAGGGGAGUAGGGAAUUACAAUCCGAAGACUGAUACUAAGAAGUUUAACCUCGUUGAUCCUGUUGAACGGAACACAAUUGGAGUACCUUCUGGUGGAUGGGUGGCGAUAAGAUUUCGCGCCGAUAAUCCAGGUAAUUGCUGUUUAAUGUUUUCGUUUGGAAGUACAGAGCUUGGCAUUUUCAAGUUUGUUUAAUUUCAUGUUCUCUGAUUUUCUUCUUCGCAUCUCUUGUAGGAGUUUGGUUCAUGCAUUGCCAUCUAGAGGUGCACACUACAUGGGGACUUAAGAUGGCGUUCUUGGUAGACAAUGGCAAAGGCCCUAAGGAGUCUCUUCUACCGCCGCCAAGCGACCUUCCAAAAUGUUGAAGUCAGAUCAAGAACUAUACUAACUCGAGGGAUAGAAGCCAUACUUUAUCAGGAAACUUGGUCCCGGUAGAAACAUUCUAUGCUCGAAGAGAGCAGAGUGUGUAUAUAUAUAAUUUGAGGGUUAAAGAUCCGAUUUGUUUCUUGAGUGAAUUGGAAGAUUUGCUCAAGCGAGUUUGCAUAAAAUUUUGUGAGCGGUAGAGCUGUUUCAAUUCAAAUGUUAUUUUUUCUUGAAUAAAUAUAUAUAUAUUGAAGAUUUGAUCACAAAGCCAUUCAUGAUCAAUAAAACUUGUAUGCUUCUAAAUAUGUUCAUGGGUCGGGUUGGAUAAGACCUAGAUCAGGCCCGAUUAACUUUUCUAAGUUAUAUUGACCCGUAUCUGGCCAGAAUCGAUCCUUGGGCUUUCAAGCCCUUUAAGAAAUAAAAAAUAAAAAAUAAAAGCAAAAUAAUAUGUAGCAAUAGAAAUUAGUUUUUUUUUUUUUGAGACAAGUAUCGAAAUUGUUAAAGAAUAAGGAAGCAAAGUUUUAGCACGGCGAAACAAAUAUUUAUAUAACGCGGCAAUGAUUAGAAAUUCUAGCAAUGAUUGCAUUUCUUAGACCCAAAAGCUGUAUGUUUUUAAAUAUUUUUGAUAUGGUAAAGUAAGAAAUUAUUAUUUUAAUAUAUUUUAAAAUAAAAAAUUUUAAAAAUUAAUUUUUAUCACAAUCUCAAAUAAACAUUAGGUGAAAAGAAAAAAGAAAAGGAACAAUACAAACUGAAGCAUGGAGUUAGAACUUAAUUUUGUAGUUUAUUAAAAUAAAUAAAUUAAUUAUGGUUUUAACUAUAUAUUUACUCUUUUUGUUUUUAAAACCAUUUAUAACUUAAUAUUUUUCAUCCCUUUUAUGUUGUUUUUUCAAUAUAUUUAUUUUUUGUUUUAAAAACAGAAAAAAGAAAAGAAAAAGAAAAAGAUAAAUUAAGAAGAUUGAUAAAAUAGAAGAUACCUUUAUUUUUUUUCCCAAUAUGCUACGGCUAAAACUGGUUAGGAAAAUAGUGUAGCUGCAGAUGCAUUGGCACUGUUCACUAGAACAUUCUAAUGACAUCUUUGUCUUUUCCAUAAAAAAAACUUAUAACUAGUUUCUGGGAACAUGAAAGUCUUUUGACGAUGUGCAUUAGUCAUUCUUAAAUUAAUUAGGGGCAAUUAUGUCUUUUUCAAUUUAAAAAUACAGUGAAAAGACCGAAAUGCCCUUAAAAGCAAAAAAUUCAAUGCUAGCAUCAAGGGACAAUUUGAUACUUUUAAAAUUGUUUUUUUCUAUUAUUAUCAUGUAAGAUGAGGAGCAAUUUUGUAUUUGGAUAAAUAUAUAUAAAAAAUAAAAAACAUAGUGAAACGAUCAAAAUGUCCUUGGAAGUCUAAACAUAAAAAAAAAUGAUCUCAAGGGACUUUUUCCAUAGGUUUUUAUCUCAAAGCCUUCCCAAACUUCGAUUGAUAUUCAAUUUUAACUCUAUAAAAAAUAAGGUCUGUGAAAUCUUUUGGUAAAAUAUCAAUUCGAUCCAACGUUCAAAUUAAAAAUUAUGCUUGUUAGCGUAAAACUGUACAUUAGAAAAAAAAAGCCCAAAAUUACCUCUCAUUACCCAACCCUUUUAUGGACCACAUUAAUCAAGGCUUAGUCACCUUUUCUUGAAAAUUUAAAACUUGACUUGACCCAAAUAUCUUGAAUAAGCCCAUCGAAUAACUCUUCAAUCUUUUUGGUCGAAUGAUACAAGGUCAAAAUCUUUGGCUUCUCCUUCCUCAUUCUCAUCAACCAUCUCAUCAAUGAUCCUACACCUCACCAAACAUCACAUUCAUCCUCUCAAAUUGUUGUUCUAUAACCAGCAAUUUAAGAUGUCCUCCUUCUUCUUUUCAGAGGAUGCCCCGUCUUUGGAAGACAUUAUCAAAUUUAAAAUUUUACGUUAGUAAUAAAAAACAAUUAUCAUCACUCACUCCCUUAUGUGUUUACACUCUAUAAUCAACGGGUUGUAGUUGUUCAUCCAAUAGCUUCGAUUCUUUGGUUCAAGGUAAACACUAGAUCGAGUUUUUAUCUUCAAUUCGAUUUUAUCUUUUUUGGGUUGUAUUUUUUCUUGUUUAUGAGUUCACAUCACAAGAAACUAUUUUAUAAUAAACCUAAACCUAGGUUCGAGCCACAUCGUGUCGACACGUGCUUGCGUAUGGGUUUAAGUUCAAAACCCACUUUGCUUAUGUCAUUUUCCCUCUAAAAAAUUGGGUUCCUUUUGGUCUCAAUAUUAACUCUUCGCCUUCUCAUUAAAUAAGUCACAAGAAAAACUUAUUUCUUUCCAACACGGAUAGAGUUUUUAAAGGGUUUGGGUUUCACUAAAACAUGUCAAUCAAAGGUUCUUUGAGAAUAAUUUUUUAUUCAUCCAUAAUUUAAUUAAAUCAUAUUAGUGUUCUAUGUUAAAGAGCUUAUAUUGGAUAUUAAAUUCCAACAAAGUUUUAACCCCAAAAAUGAAUGGAUCCACUUUUAAUUUGGCCUCAAAUAUUUCCAUUAACCAUGUUCCAAGACAAAAUUUGCAACAAAAUGUCCCAUUAACAAAGCAGAAUGUUUUUGUUACAAUACUAAUGUCAGUAAAAAUGAGUAGAGAAUGUUGAUGAAUUUAGAUAUAACUAGUUUAUUUUCUACACUAUCAUUGUGGGUUGGAUGAAAUUUUUUUGGAACAUAAGAAAAUAAUAUAUAAACCAUAUGAAACUUUUCGGCAUUGUCAUUAAAUUAGGUGCAACAGUUCAAACUUGACAACUCUUAACAUGACUAUUUGUUUAGCUCAAGUUUUUAAUUAAAUCAUAUGAAAGUUGCUCUUAUGUGACAUUGUUUACUGGGUAGGUGCAAAGAAAAAAAAACACGUUAGGUUCAACCUAAUCAACCCACCAAACUCGUGAUCGAAGUUAUGAGCUUCACUAGGUCAAAUUAAUUUUUUUUAUUUUAUUAUAUAAUAAAAAUAUAAAUUUUUAUUUACCAUCAACACAAUACUAAAAAAUAAAAUUAAAAAGAAAAACUUCACAUUAAAAGAUAAUAUUGAAAGAAAAAAAUAAAAUAUGUAAAAAAUACUCUAAUGGUGUGCUAUGAUAAAGCCAAACACGCGGGCACGUGGGCUUGGGGAAGGCCUGCAGCUUGGGCUGUGCACAUCUUUUUUAUUUGCAAAAAAGAAGAAAAGCAACCUCUCAUCUAUCUUUUGAAAGAAUAUACUGCUAUCUGUAGCUAGGAAUCAAACCCACAACCUCCACACCUACCUCCUUGCUUACCACCACUUGAACUAUGACAAGAACUUAACCAAGCUAUUAAAAUAUAUCAACUUGAUUUUAAUAACUAAGCCAAAUCCAGCCAUUUAGUUGUUCCUUUUUACUAUUAGAUUUGAAAUCAAUGGUUUUAACAAACCAGCAUUUUAGACAUUCCCAAAACAGACGGAUGCGCAAAAGCAUUGAAUUGAAUUGAAAAUAUUGAUCGGAUCAUGCAUGGAUUUUCAUAUAAAAAAAACACAUCACCGUGGAAAGGACCUGGUGAGCACUCAUCAUUAGAAUUCAGAGCCGCAAGUAAUCCUGGGACAUCCUUUACAAGGACUACAAGUAAUGCCUUGAAAAAGAGAGUUCGGCCUACCAAACUUAACCCGUAUUGUUCUUAAAUCUACGAAGAGCACCAGGUCCUAAAAAAGAGUAGCAAAAUAAAAUAAAUUCUAAGGCAACUAAUUGAAAAUGGUGAUUAAUUAAGGUGACUUGUCCGUUGCUGAUCAAUUGACCACAUGUUCUUUUACUCUAUUUUUAUAUUGUUGUGAACCUACUUGAGUAAAUAGCAGGACAAGAGAAUGUUUUCAGGAUAAAUAUGUAGGAAGUGGGUGCCAAAUUUAAUCAUUUAAUUUACAGAUUUCCUAUGCCACCAAAUUAUCAAACUUCCAUGCAAGGUUCCUAAUUAAUAAAUGCAAAAAUUAGAAAACACAUGGUCUGCUUCCCAAACUAUGUUGAUCCAUGAACAAGACGACUUUAUGUAGCAUGUAAGAAACCUAGUAAGAUUAGGCUUCUAAUCCUUGUUUUCCAAGAAUGAACUCACCCACCUAACCUAACUGUGAAAAACGACAUGGCAGCAAUUCCCAUAUUCCCUUUAUAAGGUUGAGGUAGCCAGUCACGGAUGAAGACAACAAGCUUGAAAGCAAGAAGGAAACCAACAGCAACAGAGAGAUUGCCAAAGAAAGGUCUCGAAGUCAGCAAAUAUGGAGUACUCCAAUUUGCUCAUCCGUUUUAUGCUUCUUGCUGUCUGCCUCCUCCCCGCUUUGGUCGAGUGCAGGAUUCGGCAUUACAAGUUCAAUGUAAGUUAAAUGCUGUAGCAAGCUUCCAUGUGACGAAAGCCUGAACUGCUUGCGCUUUAGGUCAUUAGUCUCAUUCAUGUGACGAAAAUCUUCUUUGAAAUGCAUUUCGUUAUUAGAAGAUAGCCAUGUUUUGCACGAUGCAUUGCGCAUCAUGACACUGCCUUGGCUUAAAAUCAUGCAACUUUACCCAUAUCUUUUUCCUGACUAGUCCAUGAUUCAAAUGGAAAUCAUAGAGUUUCCACCUACCUAUAGCCACUAUUUUAAAUACCAGAAAAGUUUAUUCUCAUGCUUACUUUAUGGUUAAAUAAUUGCAGCAGAAAGCUCUCACUAUAUAUAUAUAUAUAUAUAUAUAUAUAUAUAUAUAUAUAUAUAUGUUCAAGAAACCAUUAAAAAAAUAUUAAAUAGGAAAAGGGUGGUAAGAUCUCAAAGCACUGUAGUGACAUAAUUUGUCACAACAAAUUAAACAAUAUGGACAGUUUAGCAUUUGAUGUAGAAAUGAGCUUAAAUAUUUCACCUAUCAUUUCAACAGGUGGUGAUGAAAAAUACUACCAGACUAUGCUCUAGGAAGCCGAUUGUUACCGUCAAUGGCCGCUUCCCAGGACCCACUCUGUAUGCCAGAGAACACGAUACAGUUCUUGUAAAAGUUGUUAACCAUGUCAAAUAUAAUGUUUCUAUUCACUGGUAAGCUAACGAAACAAACCCUGUAUAACAGUUAUACUUCAAUUCAUCAUGAAUGAUACCGAUGCGGAUUUUUCUUGGUAUUCUGCAGGCAUGGCAUUAGGCAACUAAGAACGGGCUGGGCUGAUGGACCAGCAUACAUUACACAAUGCCCCAUUCAGCCAGGGCAAAGCUAUGUCUACAAUUUCACAAUCACUGGUCAGAGGGGCACACUUCUUUGGCACGCACAUAUUCUCUGGCUAAGGGCCACAGUUCAUGGUGCCCUGGUUGUCUUGCCUAAACGCGGCAUCCCCUACCCAUUCCCAGCUCCUCAUAAAGAAGUGCUUGUUGUAUUAGGUGAGCAGGAUACAUAAUAGCUAUUUCUUUCACUAAAACUUUUGAAAUUCUGUGCAUUCCGCCAUAAUUCAAAUCUUUAAGGUUCAUGGUUAUUAAAUAUGUAACCUGAGACUAAGGUGGUGACGUGAAAUUGCAGCUGAAUGGUGGAAAUCAGAUACUGAAGCUGUGAUCAACGAGGCUCUUAAAUCUGGAUUAGCUCCAAAUGUCUCUGAUGCUCACACAAUUAACGGCCAUCCAGGAGCUGUCUCAGCUUGUUCUUCACAGGGUAUUCAACUAAGAUUAAUGACCAUAAGAUAUACCUGUGAGUUCUGGCUCUCAAUGCUUGCUUUCUAAUAGAGGUCUGAUACAGAAAGAUUUUUGGAUUCAUGCAGGCGGUUUCACAUUGCCAGUCAAAAGUGGCGAGACCUACAUGCUACGGUUGAUCAAUGCUGCACUCAAUGAAGAGCUCUUCUUCAAAAUUGCAGGGCAUAAGCUUACAGUCGUCGAAGUGGAUGCCACCUAUGUUAAACCAUUCAAAACCGAUACAGUCCUAAUUGCCCCAGGCCAGACCACCAAUGUCCUUGUCACAGCUAACAAAAAUACAGGCAAGUACUUGGUUGCUGCCUCCCCGUUCAUGGAUGCUCCAAUUGCUGUGGACAACAUGACAGCAACAGCCACUUUGCAGUAUUCAGGAGCACUUGCUAACUCCCCUACAACUCUCACCACCCCACCUCCAAAGAAUGCCACUGCAGUUGCCAACCAAUUUACCAACUCUCUACGCAGCCUUAACUCAAGAAGAUUUCCUGCCAAAGUCCCAUUGAACGUUGAUCACAACCUUUUCUUUACAGUUGGUCUAGGAGUUAACCCAUGUCCAAGUUGCAAAGCUGGUAAUGGCAGCAGGGUUGUUGCUAGUAUUAACAAUGUCACAUUUGUGAUGCCAACCACUGCCCUGCUCCAAGCACAUUUCCUCAACAUCAGCGGUGUGUUCACCACUGAUUUUCCUGCAAAGCCACCGCAUGUUUUCAAUUACACUGGCACUCCACCUACAAAUUUACAGACCAAAAGUGGAACUAAAGUUUAUAGGCUGAGCUACAACUCGACAGUCCAACUUGUUAUGCAAGAUACUGGGAUCAUAUCCCCUGAGAACCAUCCGAUCCAUUUACAUGGAUUCAAUUUCUUUGCUGUCGGUAGGGGAGUAGGGAAUUACAAUCCGAAGACUGAUACUAAGAAAUUUAACCUCGUUGAUCCUGUUGAACGGAACACAAUUGGAGUACCUUCUGGUGGAUGGGUGGCGAUAAGAUUUCGCGCCGAUAAUCCAGGUAAUUGCUGUUUAAUGUUUUCGUUUGGAAGUACAGAGCUUGGCAUUUUCAAGUUUGUUUAAUUUCAUGUUCUCUGAUUUUCUUCUUCGCAUCUCUUGUAGGAGUUUGGUUCAUGCAUUGCCAUCUAGAGGUGCACACUACAUGGGGACUUAAGAUGGCGUUCUUGGUAGACAAUGGCAAAGGCCCUAAGGAGUCUCUUCUACCGCCGCCAAGCGACCUUCCAAAAUGUUGAAGUCAGAUCAAGAACUAUACUAACUCGAGGGAUAGAAGCCAUACUUUAUCAGGAAACUUGGUCCCGGUAGAAACAUUCUAUGAUCGAAGAGAGCAGAGUGUGUAUAUAUAUAAUUUGAGGGUUUAAGAUCCGAUUUGUUUCUUGAGUGAAUUGGAAGAUUUGCUCAAGCGAGUUUUAAUAAAAUUUUGUGAGCGGUAGAGCUGUUUCAAUUCAAAUGUUAUUUUUUCUUGAAUAAAUAUAUCUAUUGAAGAUUUGAUCACGAAGCCAUUCAUGAUCAAUAAAACUUGUAUGUUCUAUAUAUGUUCAUGUGUCGGGUCGGAUUAGACCUAGAUCAGGCCCGAUUAAUUUUUCUAAGCUAUAUUGACCCGAGUCUAGUCAGAAUCGAUACUUGGGCUUUCAAGCCCUUCAAGAAAUUAAAAAAUGAAAGCAAAUAAUAAAUGCUAGAGUUCGAUUAGAACUAGUCUUUUCAUUUUUCAACAAGUAUCAAAAUUGUUAACGACCAAGGAAGCAAAGUUUUAGCACCGUGAAACAAAUAUUUAUAUAUAUAUCACGGCAAUGAUUAGAAAUUCUAGCAAUGAUUGCAUUUCUUAGACCCAAAAGCUGUAUGUUUUUAAAUAUUUUUUAUAGGGUAAUGUUAAAAAUUAUUAUUUUGAUAUAUUUUAAAAUAAAAAAUAAUUUUAAAAAUAAUUUUUAUCAUAUUCUUAAAUAAAUAUUAGGUGAAAAGAGAAAGAAAGGGAAAAAUAUAAACUGAAGCAUGGAGUGACUAGUAACUUAAUUUUGUAGUUUAUUAAAAUAAAUUAAUUAAUUAUAGUUGUAACUAUAUAUUUACUCUCUUUGUUUUUAAAACCAUUUAUAACUUAAUAUUUUUCAUCUAUUAUAUGUUGUUCUUCUAAUUUAUUUAUUUUUUGUUUUAAAAACAAAAAAAAAAGAAAAAGAUAAAAUAAGAAGAUUGAUAAAAUAAAAGAUACCUUCAUUUUUUUUUCAAAUAUGCUAUAGCUAAAAUUGGUUAGGAAAAUAGUGUAGCUGCAGAUAUAUUGACACUGUUCACUAGAACAUUCUAAUGAAGUGAACGUUCUAAUGACGUCUUUGUCUUUUCCAUCAAAAAACUUAUAACUAGUUACUUGGGACAUCAAAGUCUUUUGAUGAGGCACAUUAGUCAUUUCUAAAUUGACUAGGGGAAAUUAUGUCUUUUCCAAUUUAAAAAAUACAGUGAAAUUUCUAAAAUGCUCUUUUAAAAGCAAAAAUCUCAAUAUUGGCAUCAAAGGACAAUUUGAUACUUUUAAAAUGGUUUUUUUUUGUUAUUAUCAUGUAAGAUGAGAAUCAAAAAUAUAUUGAAACGAUUGAAAUGUCCAUAGAAGUCAAAAAAUAAAAUAAAAAUGAUCUUAAAGGGCUUUUUCCAAAGGUUUUUUCAUUAUUAACAUGUAAAAUCAUGGGUGAUUUGAUAUUUGAAUAAAACAAAAUUCAGGCAUAUGUACGACACCAUGAGGCACGCGGGAGGCGCCAACACACUAUGGAUGACGUGUGUGACGCCUUCCAUUGUCCAAAAAUACCCUUUCAUCAUGUCAUUGGAAGCACUGUCGUGUUUUGUUUCCUGUUGGUAUGAUACAUGUCUUUGGUGGUGAUUCAGUUUGUCGUCGAAAGGACUUUCUAUUCUAUUCUUUUUCCUUCUCUUCUCUCUUCUCCCUUAAAAAAUAUAGUUUGCCCUUUUUGUUCUUGAUGUUUCAACUUCAAUAAUUAUUCUUUUGAUUUUUAAUUUUUGUUCCGGGCUCUUUUAUAGAAAUCUUAUUUGUUUUUAAUUUCAUUCUUCAAUCACAAUUCACUAAAUAUCAUAUUCUUUAAUUUGGUCAUUCUUUUGAUUUAUAAUUUUUGUGUAGCCUUAACAAAUAAGGUGUACCUUGCAAAAAUUGGAGCUCUGUUACCGCCUCUCGUGUGUCCAUGUAAAAUAAAGAAACCACUAACUUUUGAAUCCUAAUGAAACAUGGGAACCUUGCCAAUUAAUAACUCUAAUUAUGUCGCCUCAAAUGUCCUUGUAGAAUAAGGAAGUCACUUUAUAGGAAAUCUAUAAGUUAGAAGGAAAGAUAAUCCUAAACCAACUAGGAAACUAAUGCAAUUCCCGCAUAGUACUUUCUAGUUUUUAUCUCAAGGUCUUUCUAAACUCCGAUUGAUAUUUAAUUUUAACCCUAUAAAAAUAAGAUCUGUGAAAUCUUUUGGUAAAAUAUCAAUUCGAUCCAACAUUCAGAUUGAAAAUUAUGAUUGUUAGGGUAAAACUGUAUAUUAGAAGAAAACAAAUGCCCAAAAUUACCUCUCCUUACCCAACCCUUUCAUGGACCACAUUGAUCAAAGCUUAGUCACCCCUUCUUGAAAUUUUGAAACUUGACUUGACCAAAAUAUCUUAAAUAAGCCCAUCGAAUACCUUUUCAAUCUUCUUGGUCGAAUAAUGCAAGGUCAAAAUCUUUGGCUUCUCCUUCCUCAUUCUCAUCAACCAUCUCAUCGAUGAUCCUACACCUCACCAAACAUCACAUUCAUCCUCUCAAAUUGUUGUUCUAUACCCCUAACAAAAAUAAGAUGUUCUCCUCCUCCUUUUUAGAGGAUGCUCCGUCUUUGGAAGACAUUGUCAAAUUUAAAAUUUUACGUUAGCAAUAAAAAACAAUUAUCAUCAUUUACUCCCUUACGUGUUUACACUCAAUAAUCAACGGGUUAUGGUCGUUCAUCCAUUAGCUUCGAUUCUUUGGUUCAAGGUAUUCACUAUAUCAAGUUUUUAUCUUCAAUUCGAUUUGUCUUUUUGGGUUGUAUUUUUUCUUGUUUAUGAGUUCACAUCACAAGAAACUAUUUUAUAAUAAACUCAAACCUAGGCUCAAGCCACAUCAUGUCAACGCGUACUUGCAUAUUCAAAACCCACUUUACUUAUGUCAUUUUCCCUCUAAAAAAUUAGGUUCCUAUUGGUCUCAAUAUUAACUCUUCACCUUCUCACUAAAUAAGCCACAAGAAAAACUUAUUUCUUUCUAAUGUGGGAUAGAGUUUUUAGAAGGCUUUGGGUUUCACUAAAAUAUAUGAAUCAAUGGUUAUUUGAGAAUAAUUUUUUAUUCAUCCACAAUUUAUUUAAAUCAUAUUAGUAGUAUAUGUUAAAGAGCUUAUGUUGGAGAUUAAAUUCCAACACAGUUUUAACCCCAAAAGUGAAUGGAUCCACUUUUAAUUUGGCAUCAAAUAUUUUCAUUAACCAUGUUCCUAGACAAAAUUUGCAACAAAAUAUCCUCCUAACAAAGCAGAAUGUUUUUGUUACAAUACUAAUGUCAGUAAAAAUGAGUAACGGAUGUUGAUGUAUUUAGAUAUAACUAGUUUAUUUCCUACACUAUCGUUGUGGGUUGUAUGAAAUUUUUUUGGAAUAUAAGAAAACAAUAUAUAAAUUAUAUAAAACUUUUUUGCAUUGUUAUUAAACUAAGUACAAUGGUUCAAACUUGACAACUCUCAACAUGACUAUUUGUUUAGCCCAAGUUUUAAAUUAAAUCAUAUGAAAGUUGCCGUUAUGUGACCUUGUUUAUUGGGUAAGUGCAAAGAAAAACAAGGAGCAUGUCAGGUUAAACAUAAUCAACCCGCCAAAACCGUGACAGAAGUUAUAGGCUCUACUAGGUCAAAUUAUUUUUUAUUUUAUUUUAUUAUAUAAUAAAAAAAUAUAAAAUUUGAUUUACCAUUAACCCAAUAACCCAAUACUACAAAAUAAAAUUAAAGAAAAACCUCACAUUAAAGGAAUAAAAAAUAAAUAAAUAUGACAAAAAAUACUCAAAUGGUGUGUUACGAUAAAGCCAAACACGUGGGCUUGGGGAGGCCCACAGACGUGGCCCGUACACCUUUUUUUUAUUUGAAAAAAAAAAUCAACAUUCUCAUUUUUUAUUUGAAAAAAUAUAUUGCUGUCAGUAGGAAUCGAACCCAACACCUAUCUGCUUACUUACAACCACUUGAAUUAUGAAACGAACUACGAACUUGUUAACUAAGCUGUUAAAAUAUAUCAACUUAAUUUGAAUAAUUAAGUCAAAUCAAGUCAUUUAGUUGUUUCCUUUUUACUAUUAGAUUUGAAAUCAAUGGUUUUAACAAACCAGCAUUUUAGACUUUCCCAAAACAGACGUAUGCGCAAAAACAUUGAAUUGAAUUGAAAAUAUUGAUCUGAUCAUGCAUGGAUUUUCAUAUAAAAAAAACACAUCACCGUGGAAAGGACCUGGUGAGCAUUCAUCAGUAGAAUUCAGAGUCGCAAGUAAUCCUGGGACAUCCUUUACAAGGACUACAAGUAAUGCCUUGAAAAAGAGAGUUCGGCCUACCCAACUUGUAACCCGUAUUGUUCUUACAUCUACGAAGAGCACUACGUCGUAAAAAAGAGUAACAAAAUAAAAUAAACUCUAAGGCAACCAAAUGAAAAUGGUGAUUAAUUAAGGUGACUUGUCUGUUGCUGAUCAAUUGACCUCAUGUUCUUUUACUCUAUUUUUAUAUUGUUGUGAACCUACUUGAGUAAAAAGGACGACAAGAGAAUGUUUUCAGGAUUAAUAUGUAGGAAGUGGGUGCCAAAUUUAAUCAUUUAAUUUACAGAUAUCCUAUGCCAAGAAAUUAUCAAACUUCCAUGCAAGGUUCCUAAUUAAUAAAUGCAAAAAUUAGAAAACACAUGUUCUGCUUCCCAAUCUAUGUUGAUCCAUGAACAAGAAGACUUUAUGUAGCAUGUAAGAAACCUAGUAAGAUUAGGCUUCUAAUCCUUGUUUUCCAAGAAUGAACUCACCCACCUAACCUAACUGUGAAAAACGACAUGGCAGCAAUUCCCAUAUUCCCUUUAUAAGGUUGAGGUAGCCAGUCACGGAUGAAGACAACAAGCUUGAAAGCAAGAAGGAAACCAACAGCAACAGAGAGAUUGCCAAAGAAAGGUCUCGAAGUCAGCAAAUAUGGAGUACUCCAAUUGGCUCAUCCGUUUUAUGCUUCUUGCUGUCUGCCUCCUCCCUGCUUUGGUCGAGUGCAGGAUUCGGCAUUACAAGUUCAAUGUAAGUUAAAUGCUGUAGCAAGCUUCCAUGUGACGAAAGCGUGAACUGCUUGAGCUUUCGGUCAUUAGUCUCAUUCAUGUGACGAAAAUCUUCUUUGAAAUGCAUUUCGUUAUUAGAAGAUAGCCAUGUUUUGCACGAUGCAUUGCACAUCAUGACACUGCCUUGGCUUAAAAUCAUGCAACUUUACCCAUAUCUUUUUCCUGACUAGUCCAUGAUUCAAAUGGAAAUCAUAGAGUUUCCACCUACCUAUAGCCACUAUUUUAAAUACCAGAAAAGUUUAUUCUCAUGCUUACUUUAUGGUUAAAUAAUUGCAGCAGAAAGCUCUCACUAUAUAUAUAUAUAUAUAUAUAUAUAUAUGUUCAAGAAACCAUUAAAAAAAUAUUAAAUAGGAAAAGGGUGGUAAGAUCUCAAAGCACUGUAGUGACAUAAUUUGUCACAACAAAUUAAACAAUAUGGACAGUUUAGCAGUCAUGACCUUUGAAUUAUAUACAUUUGAUGUAGAAAUGAGCUUAAAUAUUUCACCUAUCAUUUCAACAGGUGGUGAUGAAAAAUACUACCAGACUAUGCUCUAGGAAGCCGAUUGUUACCGUCAAUGGCCGCUUCCCAGGACCCACUCUGUAUGCCAGAGAACACGAUACAGUUCUUGUAAAAGUUGUUAACCAUGUCAAAUAUAAUGUUUCUAUUCACUGGUAAGCUAACGAAACAAACCCCGUAUAACAGUUAUACUUCAAUUGAUCAUGAAUGAUACCGAUGCGGAUUUUUCUUGGUAUUCGGCAGGCAUGGCAUUAGGCAACUAAGAACGGGCUGGGCUGAUGGACCAGCAUACAUUACACAAUGCCCCAUUCAGCCAGGGCAAAGCUAUGUCUACAAUUUCACAAUCACUGGUCAGAGGGGCACACUUCUUUGGCACGCACAUAUUCUCUGGCUAAGGGCCACAGUUCAUGGUGCCAUGGUUGUCUUGCCUAAACGCGGCAUCCCCUACCCAUUCCCAGCUCCUCAUAAAGAAGUGGUUGUUGUAUUAGGUGAGCACGAUACAUAAUAGUUAUUUCUUUCACUAAAACUUUUGAAAUUAUGUGCAUUCCGACCAUAAUUCAAUGCUUUAAGGUUCAUGUUUAUUAAAUAUGUAACCUGAGACUAAUGUGGUGACGUGAAAUUGCAGCUGAAUGGUGGAAAUCAGAUACUGAAGCUGUGAUCAACGAGGCUCUUAAAUCUGGAUUAGCUCCAAAUGUCUCUGAUGCUCACACAAUUAACGGCCAUCCAGGAGCUGUCUCAGCUUGUUCUUCACAGGGUAUUCAACUAAGAUUAAUGACCAUAAGAUAUACCUGAGAGUUCUGGCUCUCAAUGCUUGCUUUCUAAUAAAGGUCUGAUACAGAAAGAUUUUUGGAUUCAUGCAGGCGGUUUCACAUUGCCAGUCAAAAGUGGCGAGACCUACAUGCUACGGUUGAUCAAUGCUGCACUCAAUGAAGAGCUCUUCUUCAAAAUUGCAGGGCACAAGCUUACAGUCGUCGAAGUUGAUGCCACCUAUGUUAAACCAUUCAAAACCGAUACAGUCCUAAUUGCCCCAGGCCAGACCACCAAUGUCCUUGUCACAACUAACAAAAAUACAGGCAAGUACUUGGUUGCUGCCUCCCCGUUCAUGGAUGCUCCAAUUGCUGUGGACAACAUGACAGCAACAGCCACUUUGCAGUAUUCAGGAGCACUUGCUAACUCCCCUACAACUCUCACCACCCCACCUCCAAAGAAUGCCACUGCAGUUGCCAACCAAUUUACCAACUCUCUACGCAGCCUUAACUCAAGAAGAUUUCCUGCCAAAGUCCCAUUAAACGUUGAUCACAACCUUUUCUUUACAGUUGGUCUAGGAGUUAACCCAUGUCCAAGUUGCAAAGCUGGUAAUGGCAGCAGGGUUGUUGCUAGUAUUAACAAUGUCACAUUUGUGAUGCCAACCACUGCCCUGCUCCAAGCACAUUUCUUCAACAUCAGCGGUGUGUUCACCACUGAUUUUCCUGCAAAGCCACCGCAUGUUUUCAAUUACACUGGCACUCCACCUACAAAUUUACAGACCAAAAGUGGAACUAAAGUUUAUAGGCUGAGCUACAACUCGACAGUCCAACUUGUCAUGCAAGAUACUGGGAUCAUAUCCCCUGAGAACCAUCCGAUCCAUUUACAUGGAUUCAAUUUCUUUGCUGUCGGUAGGGGAGUAGGGAAUUACAAUCCGAAGACUGAUACUAAGAAAUUUAACCUCGUUGAUCCUGUUGAACGGAACACAAUUGGAGUACCUUCUGGUGGAUGGGUGGCGAUAAGAUUUCGCGCCGAUAAUCCAGGUAAUUGCUGUUUAAUGUUUUCGUUUGGAAGUACAGAGCUUGGCAUUUUCAAGUUUGUUUAAUUUCAUGUUCUCUGAUUUUCUUCUUUGCAUCUCUUGUAGGAGUUUGGUUCAUGCAUUGCCAUCUGGAGGUGCACACUACAUGGGGACUUAAGAUGGCGUUCUUGGUAGAC
rnacentral:lncRNA from 1 species